GUAUUGAUUGCGUGUGACCGCAAAAAUAACAUUCUACACUGUAUCAAGUUUUGUGUGAAAACGUGAGCCCUCCUGCAAAGGGGGACCCACGCGGUGAUGCACAAGGGGUGAAAUGGAUGUGUGAGAGUGCUCAGGCGUGCACGACCUUUUGAAAGGUCAGCGACAGCCCUCGCAUGCCUCACACAUUUUGUACGAUAAUGAUCCUUCCGCAGGUUCACCUACGGAAA
rnacentral:misc_RNA from 1 species